GACGAACGCUGGCGGCGUGCUUAACACAUGCAAGUCGAACGGUAAGGCCCUUCGGGGUACACGAGUGGCGAACGGGUGAGUAACACGUGGGUGAUCUGCCCUGCACUUCGGGAUAAGCCUGGGAAACUGGGUCUAAUACCGGAUAGGACCCUGGGAUGCAUGUCCUGGGGUGGAAAGCUUUUGCGGUGUGGGAUGGGCCCGCGGCCUAUCAGCUUGUUGGUGGGGUGAUGGCCUACCAAGGCGACGACGGGUAGCCGGCCUGAGAGGGUGACCGGCCACACUGGGACUGGGAGCCGGCCCAGGCUCCUACGGGAGGCAGCAGUGGGGAAUAUUGCACAAUGGGCGCAAGCCUGAUGCAGCGACGCCGCGUGAGGGAUGACGGCCUUCGGGUUGUAAACCUCUUUCAGCACCGACGAAGCGCAAGUGACGGUAGGUGCAGAAGAAGGACCGGCCAACUACGUGCCAGCCGCCGCAGUAA
rnacentral:rRNA from 1 species